AGGGCACUAUUUAAAACAUCCUCAGUGACUUAGAAUGUGACUUGCAGAGCUGCAAUUGGAGCUGCUAAGGUUCUCUGAAGCAUGAGCGAUGAGAGCGAACUGGAACCGUUCUGUUCAGAGACUGUGUCCUCCAGGAAGCCUGCCAAGAUGGGCUAUCCUUGUCUGCUGGACCCUCCCUCAGGCUUCCAGGCAUUCAGGAAGGAUUACUCUUCGAAUAGAUAUUGCAGGAGCCUUCAGUAUGUGCCAAAACCCCACCCCACCGCUGCCCUGCUCACCACAAAAAUAUAAGGUGUUCAACAACUAAAGUUUGGAGAUCAAAGCCAGAAAGGUAACUAGGCUAAGGACUACCAAUGUUUUGGGCCUAGCCCCUCAAGGUCUACAAGAUCCAGUACACAAAGGAACCUUUCCUAUUGGAUCCUACAUCUUUGUCCCUUUCACAACCUGUAGGUGUUUGUAAAGUCAAGGAACAAGAUUUCUGCUCCAAGGGUAAUUGUAGAAGAAAGAACCACCCAGGAGAAGAUCGUGACCCAUGGGGAUCCACAGGAAACAAACAUGUGAGAGCCACUGGAGACCAAGGGAGUUCUUAUGUUUUAUAUCUUGAUGCCCCCACAAAGCCUCUUGUGCUCAUAGAUUGGGGCUUUUUGGAGGUGAUGGGUCAUCACUGAAUGACCCUCAUCAGUGGAUUGGUCUAGUGGUGAGUUUCUAGAUACAUGUGACGCUGGGAAGUGAAUCCUGGUGGGAGGAGGCGGAUCACUGGGGAUACUGGCUGUGUGGGAAGAUAGCCUUGCCUCUUCUCUUGAGUGUUCUUUUGUCCCACUGCCAUGCCAUGAGCUAUUUCUCCUAUGCGUGCUCUUCUGCCAGGCUCCCCUACGCCAGAGCCAGCUGACUAUCGACCAAAACUGUCAGCCACAACAAACUGUUCCUUCCUUAAGUUUUGGGUGUUGGACAUUGUGUCUCAGUGGCAAGGAAGUAAAGAGGACAGGGUGAUUGGGAUCAGCGAAUACGUCUUCUUAUUAGUUCAUCACCAGCUAGAUGCUCAAUAAUCACAACAUGAACUGCAAGUCCUCGUUCUUCUACUUGUCUGUAUCAUCUCCAAGUUCUUCAACCUAACCACAGAGUUCUCCAGAAAAACAAAAUAACUAAAUGUCUAAACCACCAUAGCAUUGUUAUUUACUGUAAUAAACAGUAAAGCCUUUAAUUUUGUUAUGAAAUCCUUGCUUACCAAUGGCUCAGAACCACUCACAUUGGCACACGUGGCUAUAGUACAUGAGGAGUUGAACUGCUACAAAGCAAACACUGACUUGCUUCACAGAAUAUCUGACUGCUCAGGGAACUUCUGCACACAUGCAUUCCAUCUUCCUACCCUUGAAGCAUCCCUCGUGUGGUUGGAAAGAGCAGACAGAAGAACCAUGUUGUAGUCAAGGACAAUGAGGUCAGUGAGUGUCAACUGUGAAAUCACAGAACAAUUGCUUAUCACAGUCAAGGCAAAGAUGCUUUCCUUUCAUUGCAAAUGUUGGUUCUUUUCUUUCGCCUCUUGCUACCACAUUCUCAGAGAGGAGAUUCCCAUACAUGCCCAGCAUCUAUGUUCUUUACCACCUCUCUCUAAAAUGAUGCUUUCCAGACGAGAUCAGGCCUGACCAUGGGGCUCUGGAAGUGGUGACAGUGAGCGACAGUGAUAACAGCUCCCAGAUCACUUCGGUUUCACGUCUCCUCACAGAAAAGGCAGAGAACCAGGAAGUGUUUCCCUUUAUUCAAACUCUAGCUUGCCCAAUGGACAGGGAGAGAAUACUUUCCAUUGUAUGGUUUGAGCGCAGUAACGAAGGCUGUGAAGGGAAACGGCCCUUCUCUGUCCUUUUCAUCUCAACAUUAGUGACAUGAAGCUAUGACAAGCUGAGGAUUGGCCUGUGAAGAAGUCCGUAGGAAAUUCUGCCCAAUCCAGGACCUGGUAAAAAGAAUGUGCCCCGUGGAGAGACGUUUUUUGUGCCACUUCAGAUGAAAGUUGUCGGAAGAGCAGGAGGAAUACUCUUCAGCAAGCAGCAGACUCAGAGGUUGU